rnacentral:rRNA from 1 species
CUAAUGAUGUGCCGGGAUCUGGGGUAAGACGUGGGGGGCGAGCGUUGGCCGGAUUUAUUGGGCGGAAAGCGCGCGUAGGCGGCUCAGUAAGUCGGGUGUGAAACCUCCAGGCUCAACCUGGAGACGCCACCUGAUACUGCUGUGGCUGGAGUCCGGUAGGGGAGCGUGAAAUUCCUGGUGUAGCGGUGAAAUGCGCAGAUAUCAGGAGGAACACCAGCGGCGAAGGCGGCGCUCUGGGCCGGUACUGACGCUGAGGAGCGAAAGCGUGGGUAGCAAACAGGAUUAGAUACCCUUGUAGUC